rnacentral:tRNA from 1 species
GCCGGGUUGGCGGAAUGGUAGACGCGGCGCACUCAAAAUGCGCUGUCCGCGAGGGCGUGCGGGUUCGAGUCCCGCACCCGGCACCC